UUAAUUGAAGAGUUUGAUCAUGGCUCAGAUUGAACGCUGGCGGCAGGCUUAACACAUGCAAGUCGAGCGGAAACGACAAUAUUGACCCUUCGGGUGAUUUAUUGGGCGUCGAGCGGCGGACGGGUGAGUAAUGCCUGGGAAAUUGCCCUGAUGUGGGGGAUAACCAUUGGAAACGAUGGCUAAUACCGCAUAAUGUCUACGGACCAAAGAGGGGG
rnacentral:rRNA from 1 species